rnacentral:SRP_RNA from 1 species
GCUCUGUCCUUACAGGUGUUUCACUGAAACGAACCCCGCCAGGGCAGGAAUGCAGCAACGGUAAUUUUAAUGGAAGACGCUGAAGGGAAACGGAGUGGA